UACGUAGGGGGCAAGCGUUGUCCGGAUUUAUUGGGCGUAAAGAGCGUGUAGGCGGUUUGGUAGGUCCGCUGUGAAAACUCGAGGCUCAACCUCGAGACGCCGGUGGAAACCAUCAGACUAGAGUCCGGAAGAGGAGAGUGGAAUUCCUGGUGUAGCGGUGAAAUGCGCAGAUAUCAGGAAGAACACCGGUGGCGAAGGCGGCAUCCUGGACCGGCAUUGACGCUGAGGCGCGAAAGCCAGGGGAGCAAACGGG
rnacentral:rRNA from 1 species